GACAGAGGGUGCAAACGUUGUUCGGAUUUACUGGGCGUAAAGGGCGCGUAGGCGGCCAGCACAAGUCAGUUGUGAAGUCUCCGAGCUUAACUCGGAACGGUCAACUGAUACUGUGCGGCUAGAGUGCGGAAGGGGCAACUGGAAUUCUUGGUGUAGCGGUGAAAUGCGUAGAUAUCAAGAGGAACACCUGCGGCGAAGGCGGGUUGCUGGGCCGACACUGACGCUGAGGCGCGAAAGCUAGGGGAGCGAACGGG
rnacentral:rRNA from 1 species